UACGAAGGGGGCUAGCGUUGCUCGGAAUGACUGGGCGUAAAGGGCGCGUAGGCGGCUUGUAUAGUCGGAUGUGAAAUUCCUGGGCUUAACCUGGGGGCUGCAUACGAGACGUAUGGGCUUGAGUGCGGAAGAGGGUCGUGGAAUUCCCAGUGUAGAGGUGAAAUUCGUAGAUAUUCGGCAAGAACACCAGUGGCGAAGGCGGCUCACUGGCCCGGUACUGACGCUGAGGUGGCGAAAGCGUGGG
rnacentral:rRNA from 1 species